AGGGCAGGACGGUGUGGUGCUGUUGGGAGGGAUCCUCAGCAGGUCACAGCUGCUCAGCUUUACCACUGCUGCAGAGCAGGGGCAGUGGGAACUCCAAAACAUGGAGAAGAAACACAGACAAGAGAGUUCCCCUCUGGGCUGGCACCUGUGACAGCUUCUGCUGGGAGCCCUCAGGAAGGCUGUGAAGAAGGGAGAUACUCCCCGGAGUGAAGGAUGGAGAAGGAGGUGAACCUUGUACUGUCAGCUGAAGAAGAGAUGUCCAUGCAACUGGCUGAAAACUUUGACCCCACAAUACCCCAGUGAAGAAAAGAAGAAUAAGAUAUUUCCAUUCUCCAUCUUCCUUUAUAUCCCUGAUGGAUUUUUCUACAUUUUGAUGACAUGUUCCUGUCUCGAGUGGGUCUCCAUAGUCUGCAUUUAGUUGAAAUAAGUGGUGAAGUAAGCAGUGCGUUAGAUGCUGAGAUCUCUUGCUGGAUCUAUCACAGAUCCAGUGCUGCAAGUGUCAUUUAAAACCCAAAUAUGACACAACAGAAGUGUGUAAGAGGGUUAUACUCAGUAUAAGCAGAUUUACGUGUGCCCAAGGGUGUCUCUAGGCAUUGAGGCAAACUGACAACUGGUCUCCAUCUCAAAUCCUUUUAAUCUGAAGUAGUGGUGCUGCCUGCAAAUGCUCUAUUGGGAAUUGUCUCAGAUGGCCACAUGAUGGGUAGGAAAUGUCCAUGUUAGCUGGCCAGUGUGGGCUGGAUCUGUGCCAGACAUGCUUUAGCUGUUUCUUACUCAGAGAGUCAGAGUCAGGCCCCAAAAUUUUGUUGAGCUUGUCCGUGAUUUUGGGAGAAGGGAGAGGUCAGAUGCAGGGCUGUGCUCAGUGCAGGCAGGGGCUGACUGCACCCCAGCCUGCUUGCAGAGAGGCUGUCCAAAUCCUGCCUCUGUACUAAGCACCCUUCUCUAAGUGGAAUCCAAUCUUAUCUCCCUAGGGUUGGCUCCUAACCCAUUCACAGUCCUUCAAGUACCACUACAGCCCACAGCUCCGUGGGAGCAGCUCCGUGCAUCUGACAGGAGGACAGAGGCGCUGCCUGGGAUUCAGGAAUGUAUGAGCCAGACUCAAGAGGGGCAGUCUCUCUCCCCAGACUGGCACAAAGCCACUCAGGGGUAAAAGUCCUUUCCCAAAAAGUGGCCAACAAGGGAGGCAAACCUUGAACGUCAGCAUCCCUGGGGACCGUGGUUACUGCAGGUCCCUGUGCUGCACUGUGGUGCUCUGUGCCCCCACUUCCCUCAUGAGGAGCCAGGGUCACUGGGACCCACUCUGGGCUCCACCUACACGUUGUGUACCAAGCUCUGUUGGGGUUCAGGCACACUCCUGGACAUUGGCAACCCCACCAAAGGCAGCCCCUGCCCCAGCAGGGUGUCCAGCAGCCCAGGAGCCUCCUCCCGGCCUGCAGGGCUUGGUGUCCUGCUGGGCCUCCUCCUCCUCCUCCCUGAAGGAGCCUGUCUGAACCACAGCCAAAACUUAACACAACUGUCAGCUCAAAUCCAUGUGUUGUUCUCUGAGCCAAAGCACCAACACGGGAAUAAAAAAACCCCUCUGUGUUUCUUGUUGGGUCUGUAGGAAUUCAAUUGCCAGCACAUAUUGCUUCCAGCAGAUAGCACAGCUUGACCUGUUCUCACAGGCAGCAGAAGUUGAAUUUAGGAGUCCUAAUAAUUGCAGCAAUCUGGUCAUAAAUGAAUUGCAGGGCAACAAUUAUCUACUGAAAUUUUUAGAUUAGAGAAGCUUUCUUUUCAUGGAUGAAAAAUGAAUUAAUGGAAUGAAUUAUUAUUUCUGCUCCCGUUGUUUGCUGAUCUGUGAUACAUCUGAUACAAACAUUCAUCAAGCAAGCCUGUGUCACUCUUUUCAGCUACAAAAACAAGGGUUUCAUUUAUUAUGAUUUCCCUGACCGUUCUUUGGAUCAUUUACAUUUGCCCAAGUGGAUUUAAAAUGCUACCAGAUCUCCUCUAACAUUUCACAGGCACAUUGAAAGGUGUAAAGAACUCUGAAAAGGUGCAAGACGAGGGAGAAUAAAGCACAAGGAUUUUAGCAGCCACACUAAGUAAAGUCUUUAUAAGGACAGAUCUGGCAUUUCAAAAAUAGUUUCUUCUCAACCUUUUGAGAAUGUGUUGAGAUUUAUCAUCUGAAAGGAGCUGAUUUCACCUUUCAAACAGAACAAUGUCCUGUGUGCCUUUUUGUAGG